CGAUUUAUAGCUCAAUUGGAUAGAGCGCCCGAUUACGAAUCGGAAGGUUUAAGGUUCGAAUCCUUAUAAAUCGA
rnacentral:tRNA from 1 species